rnacentral:rRNA from 1 species
UCCAGACUCCUACGGGAGGCAGCAGUGAGGAAUAUUGGUCAAUGGCCGGAAGGCUGAGCCAGCCAAGUCGCGUGAGGGACGACUGCCCUAUGGGUUGUAAACCUCUUGUAUAAGGGAAGAAUAAAUGCUACGUGUAGCAUGAUGCCUGUACCUUAUGAAUAAGCACCGGCUAACUCCGUGCCAGCAGCCGCGGUAAUACGGAGGGUGCAAGCGUUAUCCGGAUUUAUUGGGUUUAAAGGGUGCGUAGGCGGAAUAUCAAGUCAGCGGUAAAAAUUCGGGGCUCAACCCCGUCGUGCCGUUGAAACUGAUGUUCUUGAGUGGGCGAGAAGUAUGCGGAAUGCGUGGUGUAGCGGUGAAAUGCAUAGAUAUCACGCAGAACUCCGAUUGCGAAGGCAGCAUACCGGCGCCCAACUGACGCUGAAGCACGAAAGCGUGGGGAUCGAACAGGAUUAGAUACCCCUGUAUUA